UCCAUUCUUCGAAACUUAAUCAUCCGAACCUGGGAUGAGUUUGUUCUUGAGCCCAUGACUCAUAUUUUCUACGUUCUACAACAUUUUUGUGAAACCUCAAUCAUUCAGAUUCAUUAACUCAUAUCCUAACUUCGUUUGGAAGUCAUAAAAAUGAUUAUUUUAACAUUUAACAUCUUUUACUUAAAUUUUCGCCAUUGCUUUGUUAUAACUUAAAUUUUAAUUCGUUCCACAUGGAAAUUUCAAAUCUAAUUAUGAAUAAUGACUUUAAACUUUUCCAUCAAUAACCUCCUAUAGAUGGUUUUCAAUUUUUCCAUCAACAACAUCAUACGGAUGGUUUUAAAUUUGUCCAUCAACAACUUUUACUAUGUUCUUCAUUUUCUAUCGUUAUUUUGAUUACGAUUCACUUUUCAUAUAUAAUUUAGUGUUUUGAAUCAGCUAAUUCUUCAUUAUUUCUCCGUAACAUUAAUACG
rnacentral:lncRNA from 1 species